GAAAAAUCCAAACCCACAGGCCGGAUUGUGCAUGACAGGAAGAGAGCUAGAAAGAUCAGCAGUGUCAGUAAAUGUGCUCCUAGAAUAGAAGGAAAAUGGUUAAGUAGAAUUACUAGAUGAUUUGAGGAAGUGAAUCAUAUCCUAAGCUACAAGGAAAGACAGAAAAUCCGUCCAAAUGGUCUUUGCCAGUCUCACCAGAGGGAAACUUCCUUCUAUUUCUUGGUGGUAUUUAGUAGUUCCUAGGAUCAGAAGCUUUAAUGGGUAUGCAGUUUUGCAUCCGUACAAGUCAUUUAACUUGAAUGCAGGAUCAGAUGAGAGCUCAUGUGCUGCCCCUGUAUAAAACUCCUUCACAGGAUACUCCACGGGAGCCAACUGCCAUUGAAACCCAGAAUCUGUCCCAGUCCUUUGACUUGCUUUCUUUAAGCCAGGUAGGUUGCUCUGAAAGUAAUGUACCUAUUUAUUUCCAUGGAAAUUACAACAGCUACAAAGAGCGCAAUAAACUAUUUGAUAGAGCAAAUUCUCAGCUACGAAAUGCUUUGACAUAGUCACUAUCAUUAGCUAUGUUUUUGCCAGUGAUGAACAAGAGCCUGCACGAUGCACUUGUAAAAAUCUGCAUUAGUGGAGGUUGCCACUGCUGAAAUUCACCACCCACUGCCUCGCUGUGCUCACAUCCCCUGUUUGGUCUCCAUAAAUGUUCAGCAAGCAUCACUGAAUGUGAUUCGGGGCCAUUUUUUUCAUAUGGAUGAAUUCAGUUCCACGCCUUCGUUUCACACGCACUUUCAGACACCAUUCUGUCAGACUGCCCCUCUGCUACCAUCUGUCAUGUGGAAACAAAAUGUAACAGAAUAUUGGUGGGAAGGCUCAAUCAAUACUGCCAUACCAUCAACAUCCACCUCUGACAUCAUGGGCCAACAUAAUAAACCAGGAGGCAUUACUUUCAGAGCAGCUCUCAUACAUCUUUGUGCUGGCAGUCUCUUGAAGAAGGAUGGAACAGAGUUGCCUAGAUCUUUGCCCACAAGAGAUUUAGCAUAGACUUG
ensembl:lncRNA